rnacentral:SRP_RNA from 1 species
GCCAGGCGUGGUGGCGCGUGCCUGUAAUCCCAGCUACUCAGGAGGCUGAGGCAGGAGAAUCGCUUGAACCCAGGAGGUGGAGGUUGCAGUGAGCCGAGAUCACGCCACUGCACUCCAGCCUGGGUGACAGAGUGAGACUCUGUCUCAA